rnacentral:ribozyme from 1 species
CCAAUCAGCCGUCUAGAGGGCUGGGAUGAAAAUUUAUGGCAAGGCGUCUUUUUACGGUUUUUCCAACCCUCUAGGGAAGUCGCCCGACGACUCGACUUAAUUACUGAUCCGU